rnacentral:rRNA from 1 species
UACCAGCACCCCGAGUGGUCGGGACGUUUAUUGGGCCUAAAGCAUCCGUAGCCGGUUCUACAAGUCUUCCGUUAAAUCCACCUGCUCAACAGAUGGGCUGCGGAAGAUACUAUGGAGCUAGGAGGCGGGAGAGGCAAGCGGUACUCGAUGGGUAGGGGUAAAAUCCGUUGAUCCAUUGAAGACCACCAGUGGCGAAGGCGGCUUGCCAGAACGCGCUCGACGGUGAGAGAUGAAAGCUGGGGGAGCAAACCGG